CCUUCGAUAGCUCAGUUGGUAGAGCGGAGGACUGUAGAUCCUUAGGUUGCUGGUUCGAAUCCCGCUUGAAGGA
rnacentral:tRNA from 1 species